rnacentral:rRNA from 1 species
UGAGGAAUAUUGCACAAUGGGCGAAAGCCUGAUGCAGCAACGCCGCGUGAGGGACGAAGGCCUUCGGGUCGUAAACCUCUUUUCUGGGGGACGAGUAAGGACGGUACUCCAGGAAUAAGUCUCGGCUAACUACGUGCCAGCAGCCGCGGUAAAACGUAGGAGGCGAGCGUUAUCCGGAUUUACUGGGCGUAAAGCGUACGCAGGUGGCUUCGUUAGUCGGACAUGAAAGCUCCUGGCUUAACUGGGAGAGGUUGUUCGAUACUGCGGGGCUUGAGGUUGGGAGAGGGACGUGGAAUUCCCGGUGUAGUGGUGGAAUGCGUAGAUAUCGGGAGGAACACCAAUGGCGGAAGCGGCGUCCUGGGCCACACCUGACGCUUAAGUACGAAAGCGUGGGUAG